GCUUACGGCCACACCUCCAUGAGCACGCCGAUCUCGUCUGAUCUCGGAGCUAAGCAGGGUCGGGCCCGGUUAGUACUUGGAUGGGAGACCGCCUGGAAUACCAGGUGCUGUAAGCC
rnacentral:rRNA from 1 species